rnacentral:rRNA from 1 species
UGAGGAAUAUUGGUCAAUGGGCGAGAGCCUGAACCAGCCAAGUAGCGUGCAGGAUGACGGCCCUAUGGGUUGUAAACUGCUUUUAUAAGGGAAUAAAGUGAGAGUCGUGACUCUUUUUGCAUGUACCUUAUGAAUAAGGACCGGCUAAUUCCGUGCCAGCAGCCGCGGUAAUACGGAAGGUCCGGGCGUUAUCCGGAUUUAUUGGGUUUAAAGGGAGCGUAGGCCGGAGAUUAAGCGUGUUGUGAAAUGUAGACGCUCAACGUCUGCACUGCAGCGCGAACUGGUUUCCUUGAGUACGCACAAAGUGGGCGGAAUUCGUGGUGUAGCGGUGAAAUGCUUAGAUAUCACGAAGAACUCCGAUUGCGAAGGCAGCUCACUGGAGCGCAACUGACGCUGAAGCUCGAAAGUGCGGGUAUCGAACAGGAUUAGAUACCCUGGUAGUCCGCACGGUAAACGAUGGAUGCCCGCUGUUGGUCUGAACAGGUCAGCGGCCAAGCGAAAGCAUUAAGCAUCCCACCUGGGGAGUACGCCGGCAACGGUGAAACUCAAAGGAAUUGACGGGGGCCCGCACAAGCGGAGGAACAUGUGGUUUAAUUCGAUGAUACGCGAGGAACCUUACCCGGGCUUGAAUUGCAGAGGAAGGAUUUGGAGACAAUGACGCCCUUCGGGGUCUCUGUGAAGGUGCUGCAUGGUUGUCGUCAGCUCGUGCCGUGAGGUGUCGGCUUAAGUGCCAUAACGAGCGCAACCCCUCUCCUUAGUUGCCAUCAGGUCAAGCUGGGCACUCUGGGGACACUGCCACCGUAAGGUGUGAGGAAGGUGGGGAUGACGUCAAAUCAGCACGGCCCUUACGUCCGGGGCUACACACGUGUUACAAUGGCAGGUACAGAGAGAUGGUGUUCUGCAAAGCGCAUCAAAUCCUUAAAGCCUGUCUCAGUUCGGACUGGGGUCUGCAACCCGACCCCACGAAGCUGGAUUCGCUAGUAAUCGCGCAUCAGCCAUGGCGCGGUGAAUACGUUCCC